rnacentral:rRNA from 1 species
UACGAAGGGGGCUAGCGUUGUUCGGAAUUACUGGGCGUAAAGCGCACGUAGGCGGAUGUGUCAGUCAGGGGUGAAAUCCCGGAGCUCAACUUCGGAACUGCCUUUGAUACAGCACGUCUUGAGUCCGAGAGAGGUGGGUGGAAUUCCUAGUGUAGAGGUGAAAUUCGUAGAUAUUAGGAAGAACACCGGGUCGGCGAAGG